GAUCAUGGCUCAGGACGAACGCUGGCGGCGCGCCUAACACAUGCAAGUCGAACGAGAGAUGAGGAGCUUGCUCUUCAAAUCGAGUGGCGAACGGGUGAGUAACGCGUGAGGGACCUGCCUCAAAGAGGGGGACGAACAGUUGGAAACGACUGCUAAUACCGCAUAAGCCCACGGCUCGGCAUCGAGCAGAGGGAAAAGGAGUGAUCCGCUUUGAGAUGGCCUCGCGUCCGA
rnacentral:rRNA from 1 species